GCGUUCGUUGUGUAGCGGUCAGUGCGCUCGACGCGUAAUUGAGAGGUCCGUGGUUCGAUUCCCGGCGAAGGCG
rnacentral:tRNA from 1 species